rnacentral:rRNA from 1 species
GUCCUAGCUGUAAACGUUGGGCACUAGGUGUGGCGGACUCAUUGACGUCUGCCGUGCCGCAGCUAACGCAUUAAGUGCCCCGCCUGGGGGAGUACGGUCGCAGGGCUAAAACUCAAAGGAAUUGACGGGAGCCCGCACAAGCGGCGGAGCAUGCGGCUUAAUUCGAUGCAACCCGAAGAACCUUACCUGGGCUUGACAUCAUGGGAAAUCCCGCAGAGAUGCGGAGUGCGAAAGCGCCCAUGACAGGUGGUGCAUGGCUGUCGU